rnacentral:rRNA from 1 species
CCUACGGGAGGCAGCAGUGAGGAAUUUUCCGCAAUGGGCUAACGCCUGACGGAGCAAUGCCGCGUGGAGGAGGAAGGCCUGUGGGUCGUAAACUCCUUUUCUCAGAGAAGAAGAUCUGACGGUAUCUGAGGAAUAAGCAUCGGCUAACUCUGUGCCAGCAGCCGCGGUAAUACAGGGGAUGCAAGCGUUAUCCGGAAUUAUUGGGCGUAAAGCGUCCUGAGGUGGCUUACCCAGUCGACUGUGAAAGCUCAAGGCUCAACCUUGAAACGGCAGUCGAAACUUGUAAGCUUGAGUACGGUAGAGGCAGAGGGAAUUCCCGGAGGAGAGGUGAAAUUCGUAGAUAUCGGGAGGAAGGCCAAAGGCGAAAGCACUCUGCUGGGCCGAUUACUGACACUGACAGACGAAAGCUAGGGGAGCGAAAGGGAUUAGAUACCCCUGUAGUCCUAGCCGUAAACGAUGGAUACUAAGUGUUGCGCGAACUCAACUCGUGCAGUGCUGCAGCUAACGCGGUAAGUAUCCCGCCUGGGGAGUAUGCUCGCAGAGUGAAACUCAAAUGAAAUUGACCGGNGNGAGAGNGCGAGACGACGACGAGGGAGGAGG